rnacentral:rRNA from 1 species
CCUGCCCAAGAGAUCGGGAUAACACCUGGAAGCAGAUGCUAAUACCGGAUAACAACAGAUGAUGCCUAUCAACUGUUUAAAAGAUGGUUCUGCUAUCACUCUUGGAUGGACCUGCGGUGCAUUAGCUAGUUGGUAGGGUAACGGCCUACCAAGGCGAUGAUGCAUAGCCGAGUUGAGAGACUGAUCGGCCACAUUGGGACUGAGACACGGCCCAAACUCCUACGGGAGGCAGCAGGC